rnacentral:rRNA from 1 species
AUUGAACGCUGGCGGUAGGCCUAACACAUGCAAGUCGAACGAGUGGCGGACGGGUGAGUAAUGUCUGGGAAACUGCCUGAUGGAGGGGGAUAACUACUGGAAACGGUAGCUAAUACCGCAUACCAUCGGAUGUGCCCAGAUGGGAUUAGCUAGUAGGUGGGGUAAAGGCUCACCUAGGCGACGAUCCCUAGCUGGUCUGAGAGGAUGACCAGCCACACUGGAACUGAGGCACGGCCCAGACUCCUACGGGAGGCAGCAGGGGGGAAUAUUGCACAAUGGGCGAAAGCCUGAUGCAGUCAUGCCGCGUGUAUGAAGAAGGCCUUCGGGUUGUAAAGUACUUUCAGCGGGGAGGCGUUACCUGCAGAAGAAGCACCGGCUAACUCCGUGCCAGCAGCCGCGGUAAUAC